rnacentral:rRNA from 1 species
AGGCUGGCGCCUAAGUCGGAGGUGAAAUCUUGCCGCUUAACGGUAAAAUUGCCCCCGAUACUGGGUGUCUUGAAUCUGACAGAGGUCGGUGGAAUUCGUGGUGUAGCGGUGAAAUGCAUAGAUAUCACGAAGAACAUCAGUGGCGAAGGCGGCCGGCUGGGUCAGUAUUGACGCUGAGGCACGAGAGCGUGGGGAGCGAACAGGAUUAGAUACCCUGGUAGUCCACGCUGUAAACGAUGUAUGCUAGUUGUAGGGCUUUCGGGCUCUGUGACGCAGUUAACGCAGUAAGCAUACCACCUGGGGAGUACGUUCGCAAGAAUGAAACUCAAAGGAAUUGACGGGGGCCCGCACAAGCGGUGGAGCAUGUGGCUUAAUUCGAUGCAACGCGAAGAACCUUACCCGGGCUAAAUCCACGAUGACCGGUCCCGAAACGGACCUUCCCUUCGGGGCAUCAUGGAAGGUGCUGCAUGGCUGUCGUCAGCUCGUGCCGUGAGGUGUUGCCUUAAGUGGCGCAACGAGCGCAACCCCCGUGGUUAGUUACCAGCACGUAAUGAUGGGGACUCUAGCCAGACUGCCUACGCAAGUAGUGAGGAAGGUGGGGACGACGUCAAGUCAUCAUGGCCCUUAUGUCCGGGGCUGCACACGUGUUACAAUGGAUGGUACAACGGGAAGCCACCCCGCAAGGGGGCGCAGAUCUCGAAAGCCAUUCCCAGUUCGGAUUGGAGUCUGCAACUCGACUC